rnacentral:lncRNA from 1 species
CCUGACUGGAGAGAAGCCCAGGUUGGCUGCCUACAAUCAGAGUCCACAUAUGUUCGGGGGAGGGACCCCAGAAGGCGGCUGACAGUAUUCCUUUAGCCAGAAAUCCCUUCAGGGAAGAGAAAGGUGCUCCCCUUUGCCUGCUUUUAUACUACAGACUGUUUCCAACUCCAGCUAGAAGUGACUAUUGCCGAUUAUGCUAAUCAGUGGCGACAAGCUCCCUUUGACUGCUCACUUCUCCAGUGAGGCUUCAAGCUUCUAGGCAUCAAGAUUAGUAAGGCUGUCUUCUGGGUGGGCCAGUUUGUUUCUCAGUGACACGAAAACAUUGCCUGGGGUGUGCACUGGUAUUUUCCAGAAAAUAUUUCAAGCAGAAUAUACUUAUUUUCCAGUUUUGAAAACAACUAGAUUGCCCAUCUCCAUUUCUCUCUAUCAUCUACUGUAUUAUUCUAUGGACAACUGCCACCCUAAUAAGCUCAAAGGAAACCAUGAGAGACUGUCUAACUAGACUUUUUGCUUGAUUUCCUGGACCCAAGAGCAGGAGUGAGGAGCUUUCUCCUGGUCAAGAAGGGAAGCCAGAAGUCAAGGCCACAGAAGACACAGGAAACAUCAUUUCCAAAGUGGGAGACAAAGCUGUUAACAGGAAAUUAUUUGUAAAGUCAAGAGCCAAGCAAAACAGAAAAAGGACAAGAAAUCUAUCACCUGUGGGUAUGAAUGGUUCUAGGGAAGUCUGUUGACAAUUGGAGGGUCUCAAAGGCGCUUUAUGGUACUUAUUUUAUGACCCUGAGUCUGGAGUCUGAUGAAUUAAAGAGGAAAUUCUGCUCUGGGCAACAUUUAAGAGAUAGUAUCUCCAGGCAGUAACUUUCGUAUUAACUCUCAUAAGAUUGAUGCCAUUCUGUCAUCUAAAGUGUGGACAAAAGUAGCAUUAAAGCAAAAUGAAAGGA